UAAACCGCGUUAUAAUAUAGGCGACAGUAAAGUUUAAGACGGUGGCUAUCUUUUUUGAAAGGUGGUGCUUAUGCAAGUAAGUGCUAAAAUCUUAAAGAAAGGAGAGGCCCUUUGUCUGUUGCGGAAGCGCUAGGGCUAAUGAUUGCGUUCGGUUCUUUUACCGCUACGCUAAUCUUUGGCAU
rnacentral:sRNA from 1 species